CCUACGGGCGGCUGCAGUGGGGAAUAUUGGACAAUGGGGGCAACCCUGAUCCAGCCAUGCCGCGUGUGUGAAGAAGGCCCUCGGGUUGUAAAGCACUUUCAGUGAGGAAGAACGCCUGGUGGUUAAUACCCAUCAGGAAAGACAUCACUCACAGAAGAAGCACCGGCUAACUCCGUGCCAGCAGCCGCGGUAAUACGGAGGGUGCGAGCGUUAAUCGGAAUUACUGGGCGUAAAGCGCGCGUAGGUGGCUUGAUAAGCCGGUUGUGAAAGCCCCGGGCUCAACCUGGGAACGGCAUCCGGAACUGUCAAGCUAGAGUGCAGGAGAGGAAGGUAGAAUUCCCGGUGUAGCGGUGAAAUGCGUAGAGAUCGGGAGGAAUACCAGUGGCGAAGGCGGCCUUCUGGACUGACACUGACACUGAGGUGCGAAAGCGUGGGUAGCAAACAGGAUUAGAUACCCCAAUAGUC
rnacentral:rRNA from 1 species